AAAGUUGUACAGAUAAGGAUUACAACGAAGUUAACUAAUAUAAAAUAAUUGUAUAUUUUAGUCUCAAGCACGUAGUUCUGAAUCUCAAAACAAGUAAAUAUUACUAAUUUCUUUAGUGUGUGCUAAAUAUGAUUAUUUCUUACUAAUUUCGUGUUCGAUCCACUGAAUAACACGAAAGAAUUAAAGUUGUCAAAAACAAUAUCUCUUUUGUUGUCAUUUUUAUUUUAUUUUAUCACCACAUAACUCUGUUUUAAAUAAACUAGUAUCUCUUUUGUAAGAACCCAAACCAAAAUAUCUAAAAAUUGAGAUUUCUUUAUUCUAGCCAAAAGACGAUUUUGCCCUCGCAUAUUCUAAAAGGGGAAAGUUUGACUUUUUGAUCGGAAAAGAAUUUGGCAAUUCCGCUUAUGCCGUUGCGUAGAGUACGGCGAAACGAGUUCGUAGACAUGGAGUAGACCCGAAUCGGAGUUGUAACGAAGGAUUUAUGGUUAAAAGAGUCUCAGUGGCAGAAUCGUAAAUAUUUCGAAGUUUUUUUUUUUUUUUAAAAACCAGAUUUUUCUCUUGCUAUCCCGUCAUUAUUUUUUUCUCUUCUCCCUCUCUCCUCCCGAUUCUUCCUCCAACCGCCCGACCUUUCCCCCUUCUCCUUGACGCCACGGCCACCAUACUUGGAACCGAUCUCUGCCGUUGGUACCAAACGAACCACCAUUCGACCACCGACGUUUCUUGACCCUUCGCCGGAGUUUCCGUGGCCGGAGCUGGUCGGAAAACUCCAUUUUCGCCGGAUUUCCAGUUCAAACUUUCAGCUCGAUUUUCUCCUUCAAUUCUCCACCAAAUAAGUCGAGUGAGGUAUGGAUUUUCAUCUAUUUCUCGUGCUCUAUCUGCUAGUUGGCUGGGUUUAGAUCAAUUCAAUCCCUAGAUCAUUCGAUUUUCGACUUGAAGUUUGGCAGAAACUUCGGCCGCCAAAAACUACUGUUUCCGGUCACUUUUUGGGGUAUGUCCAAGAACAAAAGUGACUCCAAAUGUGGUGUUUUACCUAGGAUAGGAGUUUGGAGUCGUAGUUUGGAGUUUUUCCGGCGAACCGUUAUCGCUUUGGACACCCGCCGCUGCCGGCGCGUGUGGCGGCGUGUGGGUGAGGGUACAGUAGUAACUCUGGGUAUUUUUGUGAUCCUCGUAUUGUCACGAGCGCGUAAGAUUUCGCGGAUCUCAAUUCGGAGUCUGUUCGAGCCCCGAACGGAUUUUCCAUAAUAUGCGAUUCCCGGGUGCAGUGUCGUCUAGCCGUUGGAUCGCACCCCAUUUCGGAUAUGUUGUUCUAUAUUGUUUCAGGGUCAUGUAGGAUUCAACGGAUUGCGAAUCGGAGUACCGGAUACUCCGAAAUCGCGAACCCUAGGAUUAGGGUUAGAGUUUUAAGCGAUAACGCGAUUUUGGCCGAUCCGACCGUCCGAUUCGGACCAAAUUCGCAGAACUUGGUUCCCGCCCUAUGAGAAACCUUCCGGGAAGCUCAGAUUGGCCAUCGGAGAUCGUGGACCCCACGGGUCCCGGGUCGGCCGAUCUGACAGUUUAUCGCUUAACUGAGCGUCGGACCUUCCAAAAGUGAUCCAAGUGUCUAAAAAGAGCUAAGGUGGGCAUAGGAGUGAUCUAGAACGAAAUGUAUAUAUUUCUAAGAGCCGGGGGCAGGGUAUGUGAUUUAAAAUUCUAUUUAUCCAGCAGUUUAUUAAUUUAUUAUUCAUGGAUAAUCAGGCACCAGGAGUCUAGCUAAUCCACAGGAGGGACCUUCAAGAGGUCUAGCUAGCUCGGACCAGCAGUGAGUGGACCUUUCUUUUAUAAAUGAUUUUAUGCAAAUGCAUUUAAUUUAUUAAUCUUGAAUAAGUAUUCUUGCAAGUCUUGAGCAGGUUUUAUACGGUCAAAUACUUUGAGUUACAUAUAUUAUUGAGGUUAUAGUAGCAGCAGACCUU
rnacentral:lncRNA from 1 species